rnacentral:rRNA from 1 species
GGACAACCUGCCCUCGGGUGGGGGAUAACCCCGGGAAACUGGGGCUAAUCCCCCAUAGGGGAUGGGUACUGGAAUGUCCCAUCUCCGAAAGCGCUUAGCGCCCGAGGAUGGGUCUGCGGCGGAUUAGGUUGUUGGUGGGGUAACGGCCCACCAAGCCGAAGAUCCGUACGGGCCAUGAGAGUGGGAGCCCGGAGAUGGACCCUGAGACACGGGUCCAGGCCCUACGGGGCGCAGCAGGCGCGAAACCUCCGCAAUGCGGGAAACCGCGACGGGGUCAGCCGGAGUGCUCGCGCAUCGCGCGGGCUGUCGGGGUGCCUAAAAAGCACCCCAUAGCAAGGGCCGGGCAAGGCCGGUGGCAGCCGCCGCGGUAAUACCGGCGGCCCGAGUGGCGGCCACUUUUAUUGGGCCUAAAGCGUCCGUAGCCGGGCUGGUAAGUCCUCCGGGAAAUCUGGUCGCUUAACGAUCAGACUGCCGGAGGAUACUGCCAGCCUAGGGACCGGGAGAGGCCGGGGGUAUUCCCGGGGUAGGGGUGAAAUCCUGUAAUCCCGGGAGGACCACCUGUGGCGAAGGCGCCCGGCUGGAACGGGUCCGACGGUGAGGGACGAAGGCCAGGGGAGCGAACCGGAUUAGAUACCCGGGUAGUCCUGGCUGUAAACGAUGCGGACUAGGUGUCACCGAAGCUACGAGCUUCGGUGGUGCCGGAGGGAAGCCGUUA